AUUGAACGCUGGCGGCAUGCUUUACACAUGCAAGUCGAACGGUAACACGUACUUCCUUCUUUCUUUGCUUACGAAUCGCGUACGUGUUAGAUAUGUACGUGCCCCUUCCUGGUGGAGGGGUAUACGUACUGGGAAUUGUUACUACUUCCGCAUUACGUGUCAAAGCCGAAAAUCGUGACCUCUCGGGCUCUUUCCCUCGCCUGUGCCCAGAUGGGUUUAGCUAGUGGGUGGGGUAACGGCUCACCUAGGCGACGAUCUGUAGCUGGUCUGAGAGGAUGACCAGCCACACUGGAACUGAGACACGGUCCAGACUCCUACGGGAGGCAGCAGUGGGGAAUAUUGCACAAAGGGCGCAAGCCUGAUGCAGCCAUGCCGCGUGUAUGAAGAAGGCCUUCGGGUUGUAAAGUACUUUCAGCGGGGAGGAAGGGAGUAAAGUUAAUACCUUUGCUCAUUGACGUUACCCGCAGAAGAAGCACCGGCUAACUACGUG
rnacentral:rRNA from 1 species